CCGGGAAAACGUGAAAAGUCCGUGAAUUUCAAAAAUUGACUCCCGGCCGUGAAAAUACUGGGAAUUUGGCGAGAAAACGGUAAAGGUACAGGAAAAUACCGGGAAUUAUCCAAUUUUGCUAAGGGAAGUAAUUCAUGAUUCAAAAUGGCGGACAUGGAUGUCGUUUCAAUUUCCUUGUUCGAAAAUACCGAUGUUUUUGUGGUUGAUUGGCCUAUAUAGAAAAAAGAUACUUAUUUAUGAAUAGCUGCCACAAAUACUUCAAGGGAAAUCAAAGGUCACUGGAGUCUCUACCAGGACAUACAUCUGACAAAACCAGGAGAUAUAUCACACAGUUAAGGGUCUACAAAGAUGCGAAGGUUUAAGGCAGUACAACAUGCAAGACUACCAAACAUAAUCAGCCUAUACAAUCAUUACCAUUUCUGUGAGAGACUUUAAACUGGGGGAACCAGUUAGAUAGUGAAGAAGUUCCCCAUUUUUGACACUACCUAGCACAACCCAAUCUUCUCCAGGAUGAAAACCUACAGCCUUCUAACAGAAGUCUUGUGUUGGACCUAAUGAGCUUACGGGCAGGGCUGGCUCGGUGGAAAUGAUAUCAAAAGAUAUACUUGGGUUACAGAUUUGCUGUAGCUGUCAGCAACCAAGAAACCAGUAGCCACUCAAAAUAAAGGACUCACAUGACCAGAUAGACAAGUUGGCAAGAUUAUAAAUUCAAGCGAAGUGUGCCAAAGUUCAAGUCUGGAGAUAACAUUGGCAAAUCGUAGACAUUUUUAGCUUGACUAUUCGAAGAAUAGUCUAGCUAUUCUACUCACCCUUGCGUCGGCGUCACACCUUGGUUAAGUUUUUGCAUGCAAGCUUUGAACCUUAUUUUUUCUUUUUCUAGG
rnacentral:lncRNA from 1 species